AAAGACAGCACUGAGGACACUAGCAUAUGCACACAGCUAAAAAGCAAGGAAAGAACUUUCUGGAGUUUUCUGCACGGUAUUUAUAAGGAAAUUGGGAGUCCUUUAUUUGGAUCUUUCUUAUCAAUCAGAGGAACUAAUAUUUAGAGUUUACACCCCUGAGGAAGUCUGUAUAGACGAAAUGCGUUGGUUGAUUGUCUUUAACAUAGUGGGUGGACAGGCUGCCUAGGAGCUCCUCCCCGGCUGGGGUGGGCAGCAAGUCCCACUAAGAUCAUUCCCACGACUGUUAAGACUAAUGU